rnacentral:rRNA from 1 species
AACGUAGGAGACAAACGUUAUCCGGAGUUACUGGGCGUAAAGGGCGUGUAGGUGGUUGCGUAAGUCUGGCGUGAAAUUUUUCGGCUUAACCGGGAAAGGUCGUCGGAUACUGCGUAGCUAGAGGACGGUAGAGGCGUGUGGAAUUCCGGGUGUAGUGGUGAAAUGCGUAGAGAUCCGGAGGAACACCAGUGGCGAAGGCGACACGCUGGGCCGUACCUGACACUGAUGCGCGACAGCGUGGGGAGCGAACAGG